GCAUUGGUGGUUCAGUGGUAGAAUUCUCGCCUCCCACGCGGGAAAGAUGGGUCCGAUUCCCGGCCAAUGCA
rfam:Danio rerio unplaced genomic contig NA915, GRCz11 reference primary assembly.